rnacentral:rRNA from 1 species
GUAUUGGCCUACCGUGGCGAUGACGGGUAACGGGGAAUUAGGGUUCGAUUCCGGAGAGGGAGCCUGAGAAACGGCUACCACAUCUAAGGAAGGCAGCAGGCGCGCAAAUUACCCAAUCCUAAUACAGGGAGGUAGUGACAAGAAAUAACAAUACAGGACUUUUUGGUUUUGUAAUUGGAAUGAGUUAAGUAUAAACCCCUUUACAAGUAUCAAUUGGAGGGCAAGUCUGGUGCCAGCAGCCGCGGUAAUUCCAGCUCCAAUAGCGUAUAUUAAAGUUGUUGCAGUUAAAAAGCUCAUAGUUGGACUUCUGUUAAUAAUUUAUAUAAAAUAUUUUGAAUAUUUAUAUAACAUUAACAUAAUUCAUAUUACUAUAUUUUUUAGUAUAUGAAAUUUUACUUUGAGAAAAUUAGAGUGCUUAAAGCAGGCAUAUGCCUUGAAUACUCCAGCAUGGAAUAAUAUUGAAGAUCUUUAUCUUUUUUAUUGGUUCUAAGAUAAGAAUAAUGAUUAAUAGGGACAGUUGGGGGCAUUUGUAUUUAA